AAUGAACGUUGGCGGCGUGGAUUAGGCAUGCAAGUCGUGCGAUAACCCCGCAAGGGGGGAAAGCGGCGAAAGGGCGAGUAACGCGUGGGUACCUGCCCCUUGGUCCGGAAUAGCUGCGGGAAACUGCAGGUAAUGCCGGAUAAUAUCCUCGGAUCAAAGGUGCGAUUCCGCCGAGGGAGGGGCCCGCGCUCUAUUAGCUAGUUGGUAGGGUAAUGGCCUACCAAGGCGACGAUGGAUACCGGGUGUGAGAGCAUGACCCGGCUCACUGGGACUGAGACACUGCCCAGACACCUACGGGUGGCUGCAGUCGAGAAUCUUCGGCAAUGGGCGCAAGCCUGACCGAGCGACGCCGCGUGCGGGAUGAAGGCCUUCGGGUUGUAAACCGCUGUCGUAGAGGAGGAAAUGCCAUGGGGUUCUCUCCAUGGUUUGACCUAUUCUAGGAGGAAGGACGGGCUAAGUUCGUGCCAGCCGCCGCUGUAA
rnacentral:rRNA from 1 species